rnacentral:rRNA from 1 species
GACGAAGGAUGCAAGCGUUAUCCGGAUUCAUUGGGUUUAAAGGGAGCGUAGGCGGCCUUGUAAGUCAGCGGUGAAAUCUCUGGGCUUAACCCAGAAAUUGCCAUUGAUACUGCAGGGCUUGAGUACAGUUGCCGUUGGCGGAAUAUGACAUGUAGUGGUGAAAUACAUAGAGAUGUCAUAGAACACCGAUUGCGAAGGCAGCUAACGAAACUGUAACUGACGCUGAGGCUCGAAAGUGUGGGGAUCAAACAGG